rnacentral:tmRNA from 1 species
GGGGCCGACCUGGUUUCGACGUGGGUUACAAAGCAUGCAGGGCAUACCGAGGACCCAUCACCUCGUAAAUACAAUGGGAAAUCUGUAAACGCAAACGAAGAGCGUUUCGCUCUAGCCGCUUAAUCCCGGCUGGACGCUGCACUGAUUGGUCUCUGGGUCAGGUGAGGCAACUCACAGCAGUGUCAUUCACAGAGACUCGUGUCCGGUUGGGUUACUUAACCGUCCACUAAAUCCAAGGUAACUGGUUGCGCGUCGGCCUGUCUGCUGGCUAAGCGCGUGACGAGAUCAAAAUAAACAGACUAAGUAUGUAGAACUGUAUGUGGAGGAUUUACGGACGCGGGUUCGAUUCCCGCCGGCUCCACCA